rnacentral:lncRNA from 1 species
CCCAGUCCCAUUUAACGGCAAAUUUGACAGUAACUCAGAUGAAAUUAUUAAUGUUUAGUAACCAUUGGAAAACCAUGAAGCUAGAGGAAGAAAAGAUGUUAAAGUGAGGAACUAAAGGCAGCCUGAGUUGGUGCAAAAGACUGAAAUUCUGAAGCUGAAAGUCGGGCAAGCAUGAGUAACAGCUAGACAAAGCAAGAAUUGAAAGACAACAGAUGGUGCAUCAGGUAAGUGUUCUUGGCUGCAAAAUCAACAAACCACCUCUGGCUAACUUAAUCAGGAAGGGAAUGCAGUGGAAUGAUAUCAGGCAGCUCACCAACCAGUGUGAAGCCUGGAGACCAGGCCUGGGAAACAGGCAGGAACUGAGGCAGGGCGAUCAGCUCACAAGGAACAAAAUGUUAUUUGGCCUUGCUGCCUGGACCCUUGAUACUGCUGGCACCAAGGGUCAACUACAACCACAUUCCCACAGCUCCUGCACGAAUGCUGUCCUAAGCUGCCAAAUGCAAGGUGCACAUGGGAAGAGAAUUGGAACAUGUGAUGUAUUUCCUUCAGGUCUCUGCUUAAAUGGCCUGUGAACAAAGAGUGCCAAACCACCCGUCAGAAACAGCCCUCCCUCCACUUGUGUUGGACUCAGCCUUGUGCCCUGCUUGACUUUUCUUCAUAGCUACUGUUGCUGCCUGAGAAUUAACAUACCGUUUGCUUCUCCCGCUAGACCAUGAACUCAGGGAGGAUGGGAAUUUAUCUGCCACUGUACUCCCAGAGCCUAAGAUAAUGCUACCAUGUAGAUGGCUCCCAAUAAAUAUCUUUUGAAUGAAUGACUGCAUGAAGAAAUGAAACAGUCCUUGAGGAAAGAAUCCCACAUGUAUAGGGGACAGCACUUGGAUGUCGUAUUAGAGAUGCUCAGGUUUUAAUCCUGAGUCUCUGGCUUUCUAAAUGUGCAGCAAG